AUCAUGGCCCAAAGCUGACCAAGAAGCAGCUUGCCCAUGGAGCAUUGCCUACCUAAAAUUACCAACCAAGUCAUCCGACUCCUUUAUUACGAAGCCAGAAAGAAAGGAACAAAAGCAUCGAUCCAUUGUAUGUCUUGUACAGGACAGAUUAUCAGCUUCCACAACAACUUGUUAUAAUAAUAUUGAGGAACUUGCGGGUAAAAAAUUGCAUUAAAUUACUGGAGUAACCUGGACUGGAGUAACCUGUAUGUUGUUCGAAUAUGGAAAGUAGAUGUCCCAUAUAUCAUUCCAACUUAUGACAUUCAUAUGAACCACUACCCAGGCAUAAACGAAAAAGUUUACCAAUUAGGCCCAGGGCAGUAAAAUCCUGCAUGUAAAAAUCAGGUGCAAGUACACUUACAUAACUAUUAUUACAAUUUUUUCCAAAUUUCAAUUUUCCUGAUAAAA